rnacentral:rRNA from 1 species
UACGGAGGGGGCUAGCGUUGUUCGGAAUUACUGGGCGUAAAGGGCGCGUAGGCGGCGCGAUAAGUUGGGCGUGAAAGGCCCGGGCUCAACCCGGGGACUGCGCUUGAUACUGUCGCGCUGUGAGUCCGGGAGAGGAUGGCGGAAUUCCCAGUGUAGAGGUGAAAUUCGUAGAUAUCGGGAGGAACACCAGUGGCGAAGGCGGAGACCUGGGCCGAUACUGACGCUGAGGUGCGAAAGCGUGGGGAGCAAACGGG